rnacentral:rRNA from 1 species
AUUGAACGCUGGCGGCAUGCCUUACACAUGCAAGUCGAACGGUAACAGGUCGUCGGAUUCUGACGAGUGGCGAACGGGUGAGUAAUACAUCGGAACGUGCCCGAUCGUGGGGGAUAACGAAGCGAAAGCUUUGCUAAUACCGCAUACGAUCGACGGAUGAAAGCAGGGGACCGCAAGGCCAUGCGCGAACGGAGCGGCCGAUGGCAGAGUAGGUAGUUGGUGGGAUAAAAGCUUACCAAGCCGACGAUCUGUAACUGGUCUGAGAGGACGACCAGCCACACUUUAACUCAGACACGGCCCAGACUCCUACGGGCGGCAGCAGUGGGGAAUUUUUGACAAUGGGCGCAAGCCUGAUCCUGCCAUGCCGCGUGCAGGCUUACGUCCUUCUGGUUGUAAACUGCUUUUGUCCGGAACGAAAAGACUCUGGUUAAUACCUGGGGUCCAUGACGGUACCGUAAGAAUAAGCACCGGCUAACUACGUG